ensembl:snRNA U2 U2 spliceosomal RNA
AUUGUUUCUCAGCCUUUUGGCAAAGAUCAAGUGUAGUAUAUGUUCUUAUCAGUUUAGUAUCUGAUAUAUCCUCUAUUUGAUGAUAAUAUACUAAAUGGAUUUUUGGAGCUAGGUAAUGGACUAGGAGCUUUCUCUUUCCACUCCAGAGAUCAAUCUAGUAUUGAUGUUAUACUAGAAAUGAUGCAACAACA